GUUGGGAACGAGGGGUAGUGGAGGGCAGCAGUAGUGAGCUUAAAUUACGUUUUCAAAAUUCACAACUUCAUAAUAGAGUGUCCUUUGGCACCCAACUGAACCAAGCUUUGAUCAUAAGCUGUGAAGAAGGCAGUACUGCAGGGACUGAGCUUUGACAAUAAUGGAAGGUCCAUCCCACCCCGACAACGGCCUCUUCUCACUGCUGCGGUCCGGUGGAUGCUGCCGCAAACUGAAGCCCAGGAAGCUGAGACCGGAGAGACUGAGGGAAAGCUUCAGCCCCAGGCCGUCCGUAUCCUGCAGGAAGCCCCCAGAACGGAGAGACUGAGGGAAAGCUUCAGCCCCAGGCCGUCCGUAUCCUGCAGGAAGCCCCCAGAACGGAGAGACUGAGGGAAAGCUUCAGCCCCAGGCCGUCCGUAUCCUGCAGGAAGCCCCCAGAACGGAGAGACUGAGGGAAAGCUUCAGCCCCAGGCCGUCCGUAUCCUGCAGGAAGCCCCCAGAACGGAGAGACUGAGGGAAAGCUUCAGCCCCAGGCCGUCCGUAUCCUGCAGGAUUCCUAGUUUUAUCCAAAUUUUUGACAUUUCGCUCUGUAUGACAUAAUUCUUCAAGCAAAAGUCAAAUAAAACUUGAAACGUGGAACUGUG